rnacentral:lncRNA from 1 species
CGGUGAAUGGAGUUGAUCCGUGGGAUAUUGGGAAAGAUGUGGAGGAGGGAACGCAGACGGGAUGAAGGUUGGCUUGAUUCGGAAGAGCAAAUAUGGGAGACAUUCUUUGCAAUCAGUUCGGAUGUUGCAGACGCUGAUAAGAUUCUUACUCUGUUCCGAAGCAAGGAAAAUGUUCAUGGAUAAGAACGGGAAGGCUGGUAGAGUUGAUCCGGAAUGGGAAAGAUGCAGAGGAGGAGGAGAGUUGGAUUCGGGAUGAGCAUGGGAUUGUUGCGGAUGCAAUGGAUACAGAUAGCGAGCUCUUCCGUGAUGCUCGGGGAGAAAGAUUUGCUCGGAAAAACAGGGGGUUCUUUGGUCGGGUGAUCCCAUGCGAAUGUAGAGACGGAGAUGAUUCAUGGAUUUGGUUGUUUGGAAUCCUUACUGGGUUCGGAUUAUGAAGAGGUCCGUGGAUCUUGGCUGGGCGUGGAAGAAGUUUGGGAUCCGGUCGUGAAAGAAGGGAAUGGCUGGGAUAUGAAUGGGUUUGGGUGUGGGGUUUUGAGUGGCUGAUCACAAAUGGGAUGAUUGCUAAUCUACGGUCGUGGUAUGGGUUCAAGUAGUGCAUUGUGGAGAUGAUGAAACUAAUCUUGAGAGGUUGAACUUAAUUGGAUGUGGGAGCAACUAAACCAUNNNNNNNNNNNNNNNNNNNNUGGGGGUUCUUUGGUCGGGUGAUCCCAUGCGAAUGUAGAGACGGAGAUGAUUCGUGGAUUUGGUUGUUUGGAAUCCUUACUGGGUUUUGGAUAAUGAAGAGGUCCGUGGAUCUUGGCUGGGCGUGGAAGAAGUUUGGGAUCCGGUCGUGAAAGAAGGGAAUGGCUGGGAUAUGAAUGGGUUUGGGUGUGGGGUUUUGAGUGGCUGAUCACAAAUGGGAUGAUUGCUAAUCUACGGUCGUGGUAUGGGUUCAAGUAGUGCAUUGUGGAGAUGAUGAAACUAAUCUUGAGAGGUUGAACUUAAUUGGAUGUGGGAGAAACUAAACCACAGUGGAUGACUUGGGAAUUAUCGGAUUGGACCUGCACACAUUAAGCUUAAUCAGUAAAUAAAUAAGUAAAACUCCAAUUACCUUUAAUAAUUUAUUAAAAUGCAGUGAUGAAGGUAACACAUUUUUUUAGUUAAAUUUAUAAAAUAUGUGUAUUAAAAUAAUAAUAAGUGCUAUGAAAAAGAUAUUAAUUCAUGCAUUAUUUAGCACUUAUCAAUGGCGCAUAUGCAUGGACUACACCGACUUGAAUAAAGCCUGUCCAAAGGACAGUUUUUUUCUUCCCAAGAUCGACUAGCUCGUCGAUUCCUCCUCAGGAUACCAACUGCUGACCGUCA